GAGAUAAGGAAAGUCUUCCUUCAGCAAGUGACACUUCACAUGAGCUCUGAGGCAGAGGUAGGUAUUAGCUAAUCAAAGGGGAAGGGCCAAAACACCACCCGCCAUGGGAGAGAAGAGUGUAUCUAAAGAACUGAAUGAAAGACCCUCUACCUGGGGUGGCGAUGGCCUGGGCCAAAGCGGCCAGAGAGGAGGCUGAAGUGACAGACAAGGGCUAAACUGGCUGGGUUUGCCAGUCUUAAGAGCAAUGUGAAAUCAACCACAUGUAUUUUUUUUUAACUUUUGUUUUUGUUUUUUAGAGGAAGAGAGUGCAAGCAAAUGGGGGAGAGUGCCAGAGGGAGAAAGAGACAGAAUCUUAAGCAGGCUCCAUACUCAGCACAGAGCUCAACAUGGGGCUCGAUACCAUGAUCGGGGAUCAUGAGCUGAGCCAAAAUCAAGAGUCAGAUGUUCAAUUGCCUGAGCCACCCACGCGCCCCAAGUGCAUGGUUUUUGGUAAAGAAAUGUCAUGUUCAGAUAUUUAAAAGACUUCUCUGACUGCACUGUGGGUUUAAUCAGAGUGUAACAAAAUAUAGUAUUGAUCUAUUACAGGAAUCCAAGGGAGGGUUUGUUGUAUGGACAUAGAAACAGGUAAAUUUAUGAGAUAUCUAGGAAGUGAUAUUAAUAGGAUUGGUGAUGGCCUAUUGGUAACGAUUUGAAAAUUGGGCACAUGGAAGUAGAAAAUGUAAAGCAGUAUUCUCAUAUUUCUGGCUUGUAGAGCAGAAGAUUAUCUAUCUCUCCAUCUAUCAUCUUUCUAUCUAAAAUUUCUGGCUUGUAUAGUACAUGUAUAUAUAUGUGUGUAUAUAUUGUAAAUAUACAUAUAUACACAAUCUGAAGUAUCUGGAGUGAGUCUGAUUCUUGGCUCAUUUGCUUUGAGGGGUGGGGAAUAAACUUGGGGCAAUGAUCAUAAGUUCAUUCUUGGACCUGUAGAGAUGGAGAAGCCUGACACAUUUAUGUGAAGAUGUUAAGUGAAAACAGACAUGGGGGUGAGGAAUGAGAACCAGUUUGGUGAUGAAAUGCAUAAUAAAUACAGGGGUCACUGGUCCAUGGAUUGGAAAUGAAGCCAGAGCUGUGGGGAAAUCACAGAGAGAGAAGAGAAGAGCCUGAGACCAUGCACUGAAGGACUCAGCAGCUAAGGUACGGGUUCCCCUGGAGUGCGGUUGUACAGCAAGCUGCACUUAGCAAGAAUUCACUAGAGGUUUUCGCACUUAAAAGCAAACAAACCAAAACCGAUGGAGAAGGAGAGCACCCUUUCAGUCCCUCUCACAUUUUACUAGCUUACUCUAAAAUAGUGAAGAUAAACAGAAAACGUUCCAAGUUGGAUUGUAACGUCUGACUAAACUCCUCUGGUUCUGAUAAUGUUGGCUUUUAGGUAUUUGGUCUGGUGAUGCAAAUAAGGUAAAAGAUUUCUCAUUUGUAAAAUGACUUUCUGGUGCUAUUUUGUGCCUUUUUCAGUGCUUAGCAAACUCUGCUUUAUAUUUAAAUUACUUGGCUGGGAAUCUGUCCACCCCUUAAGCCUGGGAAAUUUGGCAGAGGAGGCCCACGUUUCAUUCACCUUUAUGUUCACAAUGCUGGGGUGGUGUCUCCAUGAGAGUAAUUGCUUCUGUCUCUUAUCAAUAUUUGUUUUUUUUAAGGUGUGUUUCAAUUUCUGUUAUAAAAAAAAAGUGUGUCUAUAUAUAUUCAUAUAUAUGUAUAUGUAUGAACAGUUCAUAUAUUUUUUUUUUUUGCCUGAAUACAAGUUGGCAAAACUUUAAAUGGAAACUCUCGUUUUUAUUAUUUGGCUUAAAAGUAAUCGGGUACAUUAAUAAGCUACCGGUGCACUUCGCAUGUUUCACCAGAUGGUCCCUAAUUUUUUGUUCCUUAAUAUAAAAAUGCACUUCUAAAACUAAACCACUGGGGGGAAGCAUAGUGCAAAGUUAGCAUUUAGUUCAUCCUGGUGCCCAGUGUAGACUUAGCCAAGCCUCUGGGUCAAAGACUUGUGCUAAGCUCUUAGUGUUAGCAGAGCCUUUGUCUGUCUGUCAGUUGUCUUCCCUUUGUCAAAUUCUUCCCACUUCCUCUUUUUUCCAGGGUGCUUUGUGGGUUAAAACUUUUAUUUUGAAACUUCUAGAAGCUUAAUUAAUAAACAUGAAAACCAAGUCAAAGCUGGCACGAUGCCCUUAUUUUGCUCAACCACAUGGGCAUGCUAGGGUAAUUGUAGUUAUUUACAUUUGGCAUCCAACUGACUCAACGAGCAACAUUGCCUUUUUUUUCUACCAGUACCGAAGCUAUUAAAUUAAACAGGUUAAUGUGGCUACCGCAUUUCGCCCCCUACUAUCCCCACAGCUACAGUAAAUCUGCCACCUGUUUAUUUCCAUAAAAAUUCAAUUAGGCGCCGCCAGUUAUUCUUCUUAUGCGAGCAAUUAACCUCAGGCAGUUUCAGGUCCCAAAGAAAGGCCAGGCUGGCCUGUUCCUUUUUUCACUCUUUGCUCCCUUUAGCCGCCGGUGGUUUCUUUUGCUAAGUGACUGCACACCCUCACACCAGUGAAAAAUGAAAGAAUAGACUCGACUGCUGUGCACUGUCAUGCCGGUUGAAAAGCAAAAACUGAAAGAUCGCCAACAACCCUUCCGCCUCCCCCUGCCUGGGCAGCGGGGGCACCUUGGGGCCCCGGGGACGACAGCAGUGAGCCUGCGGCCAGGGCCCCGGGGACACCCCAGCGUUGCAGAAAAACACACCAAAAGGAAGGAGAACUUGCUCUAAAAACUGUUUGUUUUCUUUCUUCUUUGUCUUUGUUAAAAUCUGACCGUGUAGGGAAAGGUUGGUAAAAUGCCACGGCAUCCUGGCUAAAGCAACAACACGAUUAUGACGAGAUAAAGCCACAUUCAUGGGCGCUUCUCCACACUAUGGAUGGGACCAAACGCAUAGCAAUGCAGUCGCUUUUCCUUUCCUCUUUAAGAGGCAUGUGUCUUCAGUACACGUUGAAAAUGCUGACUUUCUUUUCUUUUUAUGUCUGCUUCUCUUUGUCGUAUUUCUUUCCCUUCUCUCAAAAGUCUACCAGUACAAAGAAAAAUUACCGAAUCUUACACCUAGAGAUUUCCUACAGGAUCUCGUGGAUACCGGGGAUUGAGGUAUGGGCUUCUCGUUAAUCUUUAGCACAUUGACAUGUGCUUGAAGAAAUAAUAGCAAAUGCCUAAAUGUAGUCUCAAGAGCAAAUUAAGACUGGAAUGAUCAUUAAUUAAAUCACUCGUGGGUUUUCGGAUAAAACGAAUGUUUCUUCAUAAGUGGGUGGGUGCUCACUACCAAUGUGUAGUGAUUAUCAACAAAUUCAGCGAAUGAGGGAACAUAGAAACAAAGAAACGAAUAGGGUGUGAGAUGAUAGAACCCAAGGUGACACGUGGAGAGCUCAGGUUAUUCCUGGGCGUUGUCACAAGUCCCGGUGGAUCCUGGAGUCACAUUUGCUCAGGUGCGUUGCUGGGCUGGCACAGAUGUCAGAUGUCAGGCAUCCCCAAAAUGCUCCCAAGGGAUUAAGUGUGUGUGUGUGUGUGUGUGUGUGUGUGUGUGUAUAACUAUAUCUUUCCUUUCCUCCUGCAUCUGAAGGUGCCCUGUGCCAGCCAGCAUUAGUACACUGCUGGGGUAGAAGAAUGUAAUAAAGUGGACUUUGAAGGCAGCAUGUCACAGGAAAAAGAUACAGUCUAAUUAAAUUUAAUCUUCUUUUAAAUGGUUACUCAAAAGAGAGACUCUAUUAGAAGUUCAAAAGUGCAUGUAUAAAUCCUCCCCAGGCAAGUCGGUACCCAGGGCUAACACAGCAGGUGGAAGAGUGAAGGAAAUGUUAGAACCCGUGUUUCAUCUUGAUAGGGCUGACGGAACUUUAAUGAAGAAAGACCAAUAUUCUGUGGCCCUGAAACCACAUCCUCUGCUGUCAAAUGGGUUCAAGUUCAUGGUCUUGAAAAUUGUCCUUUUCCUGUCUUCAAAUGUUCUCAUGAGUCCUUUUCUUUUCAGUUCAAAGUAGAAAUUAAAAUGGUUUUAAGUGUUUAUUCUUCAUCCUAGAUUUUGGGCAGAUGCCUAAUUUCCACUGCUUCCUUACCUCCUGAAGAGUUUCAGGCUUUUUGCUUCUGCCAAAAUGAAGCAAACAUACAGCUUGGUACUUUGAAGUCUGAGUUAAAGCAAAACUAAAUGGACCAUGUUUAUCUGAUCAAUUAAAGCAUUGCCUACAUCCUUAGAACUGAUGUUUCUCAUUUAGACAACAUUCUAUACAAUCCUCAGGAAAUUAACAACAGAGAUUGAGUUUGGGGAAUGGGGGUCGUUAUAUAAAGAAAUGCAGGAAGAGUGUGGAAGAAUUUGACCAGGCUCCAGUAUAAGCUACAUAAACUGACUGGGCUCCAAUAUAAACUAAAGAAUGUCUUAGUAGAAGAGGGACUAUAGAAAAAUGUUAAUGACGGUUCCCCGAGUAAAAGUUUGACUUCAAACUCCUGUUAUGUGAAGUGAUCUAGUAUACUUAAUAGUCUUUGGCAUUAUUGAUGUGUAUACUUUAAGAAUAGUUAUAAUUAUAAAAGCUCUCAGAGAUUAGAAUGUGUACAGUUCAGUUUAAGCAUAGAUCAACAAGGUGUGCUCUAAAAGCAGAACCAUGCUAAAAAAAUAAAAAAAAUAAAAAAAAUAAAAAAAAAAGAAAAAGGGGCGCCUGGGUGGCGCAGUCGGUUAAGCGUCCGACUUCAGCCAGGUCACGAUCUCGCGGUCCGUGAGUUCGAGCCCCGCGUCAGGCUCUGGGCUGAUGGCUCGGAGCCUGGAGCCUGUUUCCGAUUCUGUGUCUCCCUCUCUCUGCCCCUCCCCCGUUCAUGCUCUGUCUCUCUCUGUCCCAAAAAUAAAUAAAAAACGUUGAAAAAAAAAAUUUAAAAGCAGAACCAUGCUAAGCAGAGCAUUAGAUUUAGAAAAAUAAAAAGAGCAUGAAUUACAACUCUCUUAGAAGUAUAUAGGUUUUUUUUCUAAAUCACACAGAUUAGCACCAAUUAAUUAAAAUGAUAUGAAAUAGUAGGUACUUGAACCUGCAGGCUGUCCCCAGUCAAUACCCUGUUUCAUUCUUCUCAGCAAUAGUGUGAAGCGGGGCGCCUGGGUGGCUCAGUUGGUUGGACGUCCGACUUCUUUGGCUCAGGUCAUGAUCUCGUGGCUCGUGAGUUCAAGCCCCGCGUCAGGCUCUGUGCUGACAGCUCAGAGCCUGGAGCCUUCUUAGGAUUCUGUGUCUCCCUCUCUCUCUCUGCCCCUCCCCUGCUCAUGGUCUGCCUCUGUCUCAAAAAUAAAUAAAACAUUAAAAAAAAAAAAAAGAAAUAGUGUGAAGUAAAACUUGUUUGGCUUCCUUUCCAGCUUGCCCAGGACCUGUGCACAUGACCUGUUCCAGAAAGACAGCAAUCUCCCUUUCCUCAAAAACCCUGCUAGAUUCGUUGUCUUUGGCUGGAAAUGUUUCAACCUGCCAUGAAUCUCUUGAAGGUGAAGAUUCUUCUUGUCUUAUCAACAGAUGAUAACAUUUGGUCUGUUUCAUGUUUGGAAAGAUGUGGGUCUUGGACCUAAAGUUCCCGGUUUGGUAAGUGCUGUGUGCCGAGGGGAAAAAAAAAAAAAAAAAAAAAAAAAAAAAAAAAAAAAAAAAAAAAAAACAACAGCAAAAAAGAAA